GAUGAACGCUGGCGGCGUGCCUAAUACAUGCAAGUCGAGCGAACAGACGAGGAGCUUGCUCCUCUGACGUUAGCGGCGGACGGGUGAGUAACACGUGGAUAACCUACCUAUAAGACUGGGAUAACUUCGGGAAACCGGAGCUAAUACCGGAUAAUAUAUUGAACCGCAUGGUUCAAUAGUGAAAGACGGUUUUGCUGUCACUUAUAGAUGGAUCCGCGCCGCAUUAGCUAGUUGGUAAGGUAACGGCUUACCAAGGCGACGAUGCGUAGCCGACCUGAGAGGGUGAUCGGCCACACUGGAACUGAGACACGGUCCAGACUCCUACGGGAGGCAGCAGUAGGGAAUCUUCCGCAAAGGGCGAAAGCCUGACGGAGCAACGCCGCGUGAGUGAUGAAGGUCUUCGGAUCGUAAAACUCCGUUAUUAGGGAAGAACAAAUGUGUAAGUAACUAUGCACGUCUUGACGGUACCUAAUCAGAAAGCCACGGCUAACUACGUG
rnacentral:rRNA from 1 species